UACGAACUGUGCGAACGUUAUUCGGAAUCACUGGGCUUAAAGGGUGCGUAGGCGGCUGCCUAAGUCAGGUGUGAAAUCUCCCGGCUCAACCGGGAAACUGCGCUUGAUACUGGGCGGCUCGAGUGAGGUAGGGUGUGUGGAACUUCCGGUGGAGCGGUGAAAUGUGUAGAUAUCGGAAGGAACGCCAGCAGCGAAAGCGGCGCGCUGGACCUCUUCUGACGCUGAGGCGCGAAAGCCAGGGGAGCAAACGGG
rnacentral:rRNA from 1 species